rnacentral:rRNA from 1 species
GAUGAACGCUGGCGGCGUGCCUAAUACAUGCAAGUCGAGCGAACAGACGAGGAGCUUGCUCCUCUGAUGUUAGCGGCGGACGGGUGAGUAACACGUGGAUAACCUACCUAUAAGACUGGGAUAACUUCGGGAAACCGGAGCUAAUACCGGAUAACAUGUUGAACCGCAUGGUUCAACAGUGAAAGACGGUCUUGCUGUCACUUAUAGAUGGAUCCGCACCGCAUUAGCUAGUUGGUAAGGUAACGGCUUACCAAGGCAACGAUGCGUAGCCGACCUGAGAGGGUGAUCGGCCACACUGGAACUGAGACACGGUCCAGACUCCUACGGGAGGCAGCAGUAGGGAAUCUUCCGCAAUGGGCGAAAGCCUGACGGAGCAACGCCGCGUGAGUGAAGAAGGUCUUCGGAUCGUAAAACUCUGUUAUUAGGGAAGAACAAAUGUGUAAGUAACUAUGCACGUCUUGACGGUACCUAAUCAGAAAGCCACGACUAACUACGUG